CCUGGAGGAAGGUGAGGAUCCCAUGCAGCUGGGGAGAGCACGGCUGACGCAGGAGGAACGCCAGAGACGACAACUUGAAGGGCGGUGUUUUUACUGCGGGGAGCCGGGUCACCUCGUCGCCACCUGUCCGGUUAAAAGACCCAUAGGAAAUCGGAAUACCCGGACCUGAAUUCGGUGCUCCCAUGUUACCAUCAGCUACGAGAGGAUCCACCAUUCCCAAAGGUCGCCUGUACUCCGUUUCCGGUCCUGAGAGGGCGGCCAUGAAGGAGUACCUCACAGACUCAUUAAGAGCGGGACUGAUCCGCCCCUCCUCAUCACCAGCAGGUGCCGGCUUCUUCUUCGUGGACAAAAAAGAUGGAACCCUGAGACCCUGCAUCGACUACA